rnacentral:rRNA from 1 species
GUCGGUGGGAUACUACCCUGGCUGUAUUGAAAUUCUAACCCGCGCCCCUGAUCGGGGCGGGAGACAGUGUCAGGUGGGCAGUUUGACUGGGGCGGUCGCCUCCUAAAAAGUAACGGAGGCGCCCAAAGGUUCCCUCAGAAUGGUUGGAAAUCAUUCGCAGAGUGUAAAGGCACAAGGGAGCUUGACUGCGAGACCUACAAGUCGAGCAGGGACGAAAGUCGGGCUUAGUGAUCCGGUGGUUCCGCAUGGAAGGGCCAUCGCUCAACGGAUAAAAGCUACCCCGGGGAUAACAGGCUUAUCUCCCCCAAGAGUCCACAUCGACGGGGAGGUUUGGCACCUCGAUGUCGGCUCAUCGCAUCCUGGGGCUGUAGUCGGUCCCAAGGGUUGGGCUGUUCGCCCAUUAAAGCGGUACGCGAGCUGGGUUCAGAACGUCGUGAGACAGUUCGGUCCCUAUCCGUCGUGGGCGCAGGAAAUUUGAGAGGAGCUGUCCUUAGUACGAGAGGACCGGGAUGGACGCACCGCUGGUGUACCAGUUGUCUUGCCAAAGGCAUCGCUGGGUAGCUAUGUGCGGAAGGGAUAAGUGCUGAAAGCAUCUAAGCAUGAAGCCCCCCUCGAGAUGAGAUUUCCCAUAGCGUCAAGCUAGUAAGAUCCCUGAAAGAUGAUCAGGUUGAUAGGUCAGAGGUGGAAGCGUGGCGACAUGUGGAGCUGACUGAUACUAAUCGAUCGAGGACUUAACCAAUAA